rnacentral:rRNA from 1 species
AUACGGAGGAUACGAGCGUUAUCCGGAUUUAUUGGGUUUAAAGGGUGCGCAGGCGGACCAUUAAGUCAGGGGUGAAAAGUUGGGGCUCAACUCCAAUCGUGCCUUUGAUACUGGCGGACUAGAGUGCAGGGGACGUGACUGGAAUGUGAUGUGUAGCGGUGAAAUGCUUAGAUAUGUCACAGAACGCCGAUCGUGAAGACAGGUCACGAAUCUGCAACUGACGCUCAGGCACGAAAGCGUGGGGAUCAAACAGGAUUAGAUACCCUGGUAGUCCACGCCGUAAACGAUGGGCGCUCGUCGUCGGCGGCAGACAGUCGGCGGCCAAGCGAAAGCGAUAAGCACCCCACCUGGGGAGUACGGUCGCAAGGCUGAAACUCAAAUGAAUUGACGGGG